rnacentral:rRNA from 1 species
AUUGAACGCUGGCGGCAGGCCUAACACAUGCAAGUCGAACGAGUGGCGGACGGGUGAGUAAUGUCUGGGAAACUGCCUGAUGGAGGGGGAUAACUACUGGAAACGGUAGCUAAUACCGCAUACCAUCAGAUGUGCCCAGAUGGGAUUAGCUUGUUGGUGGGGUAACGGCUCACCAAGGCGACGAUCCCUAGCUGGUCUGAGAGGAUGACCAGCCAAACUGGAACUUAGAACCGGUCCCACUCCCUACGGGGGGCAGGAGGGGGGAAUUUUUGACAAUGGGCGCAAGCCUGAUGCAGCCAUGCCGGGUGUAUGAAGAAGGCCUUCGGGUUGUAAAGUACUUUCAGCGGGGAGGCGUUACCCGCAGAAGAAGCACCGGCUAACUCCGUGCCAGCAGCCGCGGUAAUAC